AUUGAACGCUGGCGGCAUGCCUUACACAUGCAAGUCGAACGGUAACAGGUCUUCGGAUGCUGACGAGUGGCGAACGGGUGAGUAAUACAUCGGAACGUGCCCGAUCGUGGGGAAUAACGAAGCGAAAGCUUUGCUAAUACCGCAUAAGAUCUACGGAUGGAAGCAGGGGACCGCAAGGCCUUGCGCGAACGGAGCGGCCGAUGGCAGAGUAGGUAGUUGGUGGGAUAAAAGCUUACCAAGCCGACGAUCUGUAGCUGGUCUGAGAGGACGACCAGCCACACUGGGACUGAGACACGGCCCAGACUCCUACGGGAGGCAGCAGUGGGGAAUUUUGGACAAUGGGCGAAAGCCUGAGCCAGCCAUGCCGCGUGCAGGAUGAAGGCCUUCGGGUUGUAAACUGCUUUUGUACGGAACGAAAAGACUCUUUCUAAUAAAGAGGGUCCAUGACGGUACCGUAAGAAUAAGCACCGGCUAACUACGUGCCAGCCGCCGCCGUAACAC
rnacentral:rRNA from 1 species